AAUGCCUAGGAAUCUGCCUGGUAGUGGGGGAUAACGUUCGGAAACGGACGCUAAUACCGCAUACGUCCUACGGGAGAAAGCAGGGGACCUUCGGGCCUUGCGCUAUCAGAUGAGCCUAGGUCGGAUUAGCUAGUUGGUGAGGUAAUGGCUCACCGAGGCGACGAUCCGUAACUGGUCUGAGAGGAUGAUCAGUCACACUGGAACUGAGACACGGUCCAGACUCCUACGGGAGGCAGCAGUGGGGAAUAUUGGACAAUGGGCGAAAGCCUGAUCCAGCCAUGCCGCGUGUGUGAAGAAGGUCUUCGGAUUGUAAAGCACUUUAAGUUGGGAGGAAGGGUUGUAGAUUAAUACUCUGCAAUUUUGACGUUACCGACAGAAUAAGCACCGGCUAACUCUGUGCCAGCAGCCGCGGUAAUACAGAGGGUGCAAGCGUUAAUCGGAAUUACUGGGCGUAAAGCGCGCGUAGGUGGUUUGUUAAGUUGGAUGUGAAAUCCCCGGGCUCAACCUGGGAACUGCAUUCAAAACUGACUGACUAGAGUAUGGUAGAGGGUGGUGGAAUUUCCUGUGUAGCGGUGAAAUGCGUAGAUAUAGGAAGG
rnacentral:rRNA from 1 species